UACGGGGGGGGCAAGCGUUGUUCGGAAUUACUGGGCGUAAAGGGCUCGUAGGCGGCCUGUUGCGUCCGCUGUGAAAGCCCGGGGCUUAACCCCGGGUCUGCAGUGGAUACGGGCAGGCUAGAGGUAGGUAGGGGAGAAUGGAAUUCCCGGUGUAGCGGUGAAAUGCGCAGAUAUCGGGAGGAACACCGGUGGCGAAGGCGGCUCUCUGGGACGGUACUGACGCUGAGACGCGAAAGCGUGGGGAGCGAACAGG
rnacentral:rRNA from 1 species